UUUAAAGUGGCAGAAACAAUUAUGCAUUGGAUUUAAGCUCCAAAGAUGGGUAGCCCCUUUAAAA
rnacentral:tRNA from 1 species